GUUAGGAAUAUUGUGCAAUGGGCUAACGCCUGACACAGCAACGCCGCGUGGGGGAUGAAGGCCUUCGGGUUGUAAACCCCUUUUAGUGGGAAAGAAACAAAUGACGGUACCCGCAGAAAAAGCACCGGCUAACUCUGUGCCAGCAGCCGCGGUAAUACAGAGGGUGCAAGCGUUAUUCGGAAUCACUGGGCGUAAAGCGCAUGUAGGCGGUUUGGUAAGUCUGACGUGAAAUCCCCCGACUCAAUCGGGGAAGUGCAUCGGAUACUGCCAGACUAGAGUGUAGAAGGGGAGAACGGAAUUCCAGGUGUAGAGGUGAAAUUCGUAGAUAUCUGGAGGAACAACGGUGGCGAAGGCGGUUCUCUGGGCUACAACUGACGCUGAGAUGCGAAAGCGUGGGGAGCAAACAGGAUUAGAAACCCGGGUAGUCC
rnacentral:rRNA from 1 species